rnacentral:rRNA from 1 species
GAUGAACGCUGGCGGCGUGCUUAACACAUGCAAGUCGAACGGAAAGGCUCCUGCUUGCCGGGGUACUCGAGUGGCGAACGGGUGAGUAACACGUGGGUGAUCUGCCCUGCACUUCGGGACAAGCCUGGGAAACUGGGACUAAUACCGGAUAGGACGAUGGUUUGGAUGCCAUUGUGGAAAGUUUUUCGGUGUGGGAUGAGCUCGCGGCCUAUCAGCUUGUUGGUGGGGUAAUGGCCUACCAAGGCGUCGACGGGUAGCCGGCCUGAGAGGGUGUACGGCCACAUUGGGACUGAGGUACGGCCCAGACUCCAACGGGAGGCAGCAGUGGGGAAUAUUGCACAAUGGGCGCAAGCCUGAUGCAGCGACGCCGCGUGGGGGAUGACGGCCUUCGGGUUGUAAACUCCUUUCGCUAGGGACGAAGCGCAAGUGACGGUACCUGGAGAAGAAGCACCGGCUAACUACGUG